GUCAAUGGCCACCCUGAACAAGUCCGAUCCCAUCUGAUGUCGGAAGUUAAGCAAGGUCGGGCCUGGUUAGUACUCAGAUGGGAGACCACCUAGGAAGACCAAGAGCUGUAGGCG
rnacentral:rRNA from 1 species